GUCAAGUUUCCAGAUGAAGAUCUAUGGUUAUGCCCUAUUAAUGUUGGAGCCCACUGGAUUUUGAUGGUGGUGAUCAUGUCCAAGAAAGUUCUUGUGUUAAUGGAUCCCCAGGGUAACGAAACCAGCUAUCUUGACAAACUUCAGAAGAACUGGAAUCUAUUCUUGAGCAAGUACAAGCCAGAAGAACAAGCCGCAGAGUGGAACACCUGGAUCCUGUUUUCACAGCAAGCAGCAAGAUUCGAGUAGCUGUGGCGUUUUAGUUCUGCUGGUAAAUUUAUUUACAACUGACUGAAAAAUCAAUGCAAACAAUCAUGUCACUGUCAUUCAAAAUGAGAAAUAGUUCCUACAUACAAGGUCUACAUACAAAUACAAGGAAUUCCUACAUACAAGGACCAUCUCGAAAGUC